rnacentral:rRNA from 1 species
AUUGAACGCUGGCGGCAGGCCUAACACAUGCAAGUCGAGCGAGCGGCGGACGGGUGAGUAAUGUCUGGGAAACUGCCUGAUGGAGGGGGAUAACUCCUGGAAACGGUAGCUAAUCCCGCAUCCCACCUGAUGCGCCCCGAAGGGAGUAGCUAGUAGGUGGGGUAAUGGCUCACCUAGCCGACGAGCCCUAGCUGGUCUGAGAGGAUGACCAGCAACACUGGAACGGUGACACGGCCCAGACUCCUACGGUAGGCAGCAGGGGUGAAUAUUGCACAAUGGGCGCAAGCCUGAUGCAGCAAUGCCGCGUGUGUGAAGAAGUCCUUCGGGUUGUAAAGCACUUUCAGCGGGGAGGCGUUACCCGCAGAAGAAGCACCGGCUAACUCCGUGCCAGCAGCCGCGGUAAUUC